CCAUCUGCCAGGCUGUGCCAAGAAUUUGGGAUCCAGGAGUGAACAAGACACACUCUGUCUCUGUCCCCUGGAAGCUUACGGAUUCUUAGGGGCGGAAACAGACAAUUAAAUAACUUCACAAAAAAAAUAAAAUACAACAAUUUAGGUUGCAAUGAAUGUAAGAGGGACAGAAACAGAGCUGAGACAGAAGGUGGGGUGGGGGCAUGCUUGGAAGAGGCAACAGCAUGUGCACAGCUUAGAGGCAGGAAAGCAAAUGGCUUUGUUAGGAGAGUGGAAAGGCCAGUAUGCUGGAGCAUUGGAAGGGAGAAGGCCAAGCAGGAGGCUGGAGAGAGGGCCUGUCUGGAGCUGAUCAGCCUGAAGUUCCUUCGAGGGGAAGCCAAGACUCCUCCCCCAUGUCGGGGUGGGUGCUCCCCCUUUCUUUCCCUAUCACAGCACACAUCACACUGUAUCAUCACUGCCUGCUCAUGUCUCUGACCCUGCCCCACCAAGAGACCACAAAUUCUUAAGGACAGAGACCACUUCCUAAAGCUCCUCCCAUGUCAUGGCCAGAUGGUCUCCAGCACCUCCAGAUGUGCACCAACACAAUGCUGGCAAUUCCUUUUUUCCGGAGAGUUCCAGCAAAAUUCCUUGGGUCGGAUCUCAUUGGACCCAGCAAGCAGGAAAAGAAGCUGACAAGCCACGCCAAGCCUGGCACAUGUGCCCACCGUGGAGCCAGGCAGGUAGAAAGGCCAGAAAGACUAAUCUGGGCCCAGAAAUGUGCAGUCGAGUCUCCUGACCGAGGAUGCAUACUGAGCCCGUGGAAAGAUGGGAAAACUGAGGCUGGGAGGUUGACUCCAGAUUACACAAGAGAGGAUGGAUGAGGCUUCCAGAAGUUAAAACCUUGCCUGAGUUGCAAAGCUUAGAAGUGGCUGGCUGGGAUUCGAACCACAUCCCUUGCUCUCCAAGUCUGUUAACUUCCCUGGUGCUGCAUUCGCUUCACUAUAAAGUCACCUGUGGAGACGUUUCAAUACAUCCCAGGGGCACACUCUAGGGAGUCCUGAGUUGGUGACUUAUAGGAGGUCUGGAAAUCUCCAUUUUCUUAUGCUUAGCCAGGAAUGAAAACCAUGGCACUGACUGAAUCCUGGCUCCACCACCCACCUUGGAACUCUGCCGGGCUCCCUGCACCGCGGGCUUCGCUGCGUUAAGUGCUUCAAGGUCAAGGAAACAAAGAGAGGACGACAACUAAAUUGGCUUGUCUCUUCCCUUCUUCGUCAGCAUCCACCGACCUGGCUGGAGUGGGCUAAGCCCGGAAGGAAUUCGGAUUUGGAUACGGGAGCCAGCUAAUUCAGAGGGGGGUCACCUCUGAAGGUUCACUGACGGGUGGGGCGGGGUCGGGAACGGCACCACCUCCAAUUCCGUGCACGCGACACCCAGGCCUCGGCUUCCGGAGGAGAAUUCCUUAUGAAUCAUUUAGAUUAGUCCCUUAAAAAAUUCUUCUGGGACUUGCUCCUCGCCUUCACCCAGCAAACACAUCAGAGUAAAAUAUGAUGUGUUGUGACCCAAAGGAGAAUGAUAACUGCAGGCUGGUGAAGCCUCUGGGUUCUAGGAUGUGUACUUUCUUAUCCCCCCCGCCCCCCAUUAGAUCCGCGGCAACCCACUCAGGCCUGCGGUUCUGCACACCGUGUCCAGCGAUUCCGUGUUUGGAAUCCUCCCAUUACAAGGCGACCUAGGCCCUAUUUUAUUCACUAGGUUAUGUAUUUAUUUGUUGCAGUAAGGAUUUAAACUUUUCUUAAAUACAUCAUCUUUAGAGAAAAAUGAGAAAAUUGGGGUAACUGGGACAUGCAGAUAAGUGAAAAGGAAACCCGCAUUGGUUCUACCCCCUAGAAAUAACUGUUCGUUUAUUUAGUCAUUUGCUGAUGAAUUGUACAAAUAUUUUUUGAAAGUCUGCUAUGUGCCAGGCACUGUGCUCCAUGAGAGAGGUGCAGUAAUGAACAAGACAAACAUCACAAGGUUUUUUGCUUUUUUUUUUUGUUUUCUAUGUAUAGCUAUACACACAUUCCUUCCUAAAAAAUCUUGCCUGUUUUUAAAACAAACAAAUACAAAUAAAACAGAGAAUAGGAAUUCGGCAUAAAAAUGAACCAAAGCAAUUUAGAACUGUAUUUGCAUAUGUAGUCAGAGGAAUGGCCAGGGGUAAACCCUGGAAUAGCUGCUUGGAAGUGAAAAGCCAUGAGAUAAAUGCUAAGACUAGUGCCUGGCCCCAGCUUCUGGCUCCGAAUUUACAUCGGAUGCACCAAAUGACGUCCAUGCUCCCACCUGGGGCCUCUAGAGCUCUGGGAGGGAUAAUAAGAACUGUUACCACCUCAUGCACAUGAUCCGAUGUAAUGUAACCUUUACAGCAACUGUUUGAGGCAGAGAUGAUGAUUAUCAUGCCUAUGUUACAGAUGAGCAAACUGAGACCGAGAGAAAUUGUCAUGACGCAGGAGCAAUUCUAUCAAAAUGAUCGUGCGGUGUGGCUUUUCAAGGUUGGCUCCCAUAUCAUAUGUGCCUCUUUAGCUGAGGUUUUCACCUGUUUUUCAGAAAAGCUUCACUCCAGAGAAAACACAGGAGCUCUUUGUAAUCAAUGCGCAAAUAGGUAUUGAUCUCUGAUACCUAUUCUUUUUAUUUGCUAUUCUUUUUCAUUUUUUUUAGUAAUCUCUACAUCCAAUGUGGGACUCGAACUCACAAUCCCGAGAUCAAGAGUAGCAUGGCUCCUCCAACUCAGCCAGCCAGGUGCCCCAUCUGAUACCUAUUCUUACUAGCUGCGAGGCUUUGGGCAAUUUACUUAACCUCUCUGUGCCUUAGUUUCCUAAUCUGGAACAGUGAUACUUAUGGAAUGUGCCUCACAAGGAUAUAGUACAGUAUAGUUGAUUUAAUGCCUGGUAGGAAGUAAGCACAUGAUCAAGAUUAAGUAUCAUUAUGUGGAUAAGCACUAUUCUAAGGAAGCUAUAAAAUGAAGUCUUUAUAAGAGUCUCAUAGUCUAAGAGCUGCCAUAUUUGAAAUGAUAGGAAAACCCAACUGAGAGAAAUGUCAAGUAAAUAAAUGGUCUAGAAUUUUUUUGAGAGGGUGGGUAUAAUCAGGAGUGUUUAGAAUCUAAGGUCAGGUUUAACCUGUGGGCUUGGAAUUAGAAAACUGGACAAAAAAAUGCACACUGAUAUGCCAUUUAUCCAAGGAUCCUGUCCCAGGGGAUGGCAAAGGAAAUAGAAGAAAUAGCCAAGAGAUCAAAGUUGCCAAGAGCACAUUCUUUGGAGACUGACAGGCCCAGUUCCCAUCCUAAUCCCAGUUUCUAGCUUUGGAAGCUUCCUUUGACCUCUCUGAGGCUCUCUUUCCUCUUGGGUUAUUGGGAGGAUCAGCACUCAUUUCUGCAAGACAUGUAGCAUGAAUUCUGGCCAAACAUCACAGCUUGCCCAGGACUGUACCACUUUGAAUGCUAAAUGCCCUACAUUCCAGAAAACCCUUCAGCCCUAGGCAAACCAAGAUGGUCACCCUAGAACCACUCCCUCCAAUGGAGUGUCCUUUGAGGUCAAUUUUUAAGGAACUCUGUUGACAUGGCAGCUGUUGAAAGUAUACAAAGAAGGGAGGGGGAGCAUGUGAAAAAACACCUGACUGUGGAGGAAGAUGUCUCUGGACAGUGCCCACCUUUGAUGUGCUUUGCUAUAAGAAAAGUCAGAGAGAAAUGGAGCAAACCUUUGAUCCUCCCUUGGCUCAUCUGGCCACGGUCUCUGCCUUGCACAUAAUAUGUACUCACUAAAUGGUUAGAUCAAUGAUGGCUCUCCCUAUAGGAACUGUUCCCAAUAUUAGGGUCAGCCUUUGUAAUAUGAGGGCCUCUUCCACCUGCCUGUCUGAGGUGUGGAUCUGUUACUUCAGGGCAGGUGGUACAGGAUGUAAAGCGCCUACAUAGAACAAGAGGCUUUAACAGAGUCUGUGGAUGAGUGUGUGGGGGUGGGGGAAGAUUGAGGGAAACAUCUCAAAUAUUUUUCCUUUUCAUUUUUUUUAAACCUUUUAAUUGUGUGGUAAUCAGCUCCCAAUGAUCCCUGACUCUUGGAACUCAUGCCCUUUAUAAUAUUCUCUCCUUGUGUUUGGGCUGGACCUAGUGACUUACUUCUGAAUAGAACAUAGCACAGGUGAUGAGAUGCCUGUUCUGAGAUUAGGAUAUAAAAGACUGUGACUUCUCUCUUGCUCUCGCCAUUUCUCCCUGACUUUUCUUGUAUGCUUGCUCUGAUGAAGCAAGCUAUAAAUCAUGAACUGUCCUAUGGAGAGGCUCAUGUGGCAAAGAGGUGAGGGCUAACAGCAACCGAGGAACUGAAUCCUGCCAAGAAUCAUGUGAGUGAGCUUGGAAGUGGGUCCUUCCCUAAUCAAGCUUUCAGAUGAGACUACAGCCCCUGCUGGUAUGUUGUUUACAGUUUUGAGAGAGACCCUAAACUAUGGAUCCAGCUAAGCUAUGCCUGAAUUUCUGCCCAUAGACACUGUGAUAAAUGUAUGAUGUUUCAGACACUUGCAGGAAUAGGUAACUAAUAAGUCUAUAUAUAGAAAAUCACAUAUAAGUGCAUGGCUUGAUGAAAUUUUAUAAUCUGAACAUACCUGUAUAACCAAUAGGUAGAUGAAGAAACAGAAAAUUAUCAGAAUCUCAGAAAACCCCACUCAUAUUCCCUUUUAGUCAUUAGCUGAAAUGUCCCCCUUCCCUAGUCAAGAAUAACCUCUAUCCUGACUUCUAACAGCAUAAAUUUGUUUUGCUUAUUUUGGUAUUUUAUGUAAAUGGGAACACACAAUAUGUAAAAUACCUUCUAGCAGAUUUUCAGAGAGAUAUCUUCUUACGUUGAGAACCACUGAGACACAUGGAGAGAAAGCCAAUGAUUGACAUGUUUCUCAGUAGUUUUCCAUCACAGUGUUGAUCUGAGAGUAGGCAAUCUGAUUUUAGAAGAGAACUAUUGGUUACUGGACAGAAAUAGUCCUAGAACAGGAAGAACAAUUCAUUUAGCCACCAUGGCUCUGCAGCCAUGUGCUGUGAGUAAGUAAGUUCCUUUUGCCCUGAGUCUCUGCUCCCCAUGCUGUUUUUUGUCUAUAAUUUGAUUUCCUGAGAGACUGGGCCCGAAAAAAAAAAAAAAACACAACAACCACACAACACAAUUUGCCAUAUUUAAACCUCUCCAUGAACCAACACCCGAGUGUCUGGGGUUUUAUUCAGUCUUUCACAAGGUUGGUUAUUGGGAAUCAGAGCCCCCGGAAUAUGAUCAACAAGAGAUGUAAUAAGACUGAAUUUCUAGGAGCGCCUGACUGGCUCAGUCAGAAAAGCAAGUGACUCUUGAUCUCCAGGUUGUGAGUUCAAGCCCCACCUUGGGUGUAGAGAUAACUAAAGAAAAUAAAUAAAAUGUAAAAAAAAAAAAAGACUGAAAUUCUAGAUCAGGUCGCUAACAGUGAUGGAGAUGUACUAUGAUUUAGGUUCUAUGUUAAGCACUUUAUAUAUGUUAUAUAACUUAAAAACAAACACACCCUUACAUAGUUAUUAUUAGGAUAGUUUGUAAAUGAGGAAGCAGAGAUUAACCAACUAAUCUAAGAUCAUGCCCAGAUCAUAUAUCUAGUCAGAGGUCAGCUGGGGAGUCCCAUACAGGUUCAUUCACUUCCACUCUGAGUUUCUAGCCACGAAACUGUAGUACCCACAGAGCUCAAGAUCAAAGUCUGCUCAUGACAGUGAGGAUCCACUUGGGUAGUCAGUUGUAUUCCUUAACACUGCCAUUUAUCUAUCCACCCAUCUAUCCAUCUAUUCAAUGAUCUGUCCAAUCAACCAAUUAUCCAUCUGCUAUAGUCUGAGUGUUUGUGUACCUCCAAAAUUCAUACGUUGAAACCUAAACCCUCAAAGUGAUGAUAUUAAGAGAUGGGGGUCUUUGGAUGGUGAUUAGGUCAUGAGGGUGGGGUUCUCUUGAAUGAGACUAAUGUCCUUCUACAAGAAGCCAAGGAAAGCUCCCUUGUCCUCUCCUGCCAUUUGAGUAUUCCAGAAGUCUGCAACCUGGAAGAGGGCCAUGCCCCAGACCAUGGUGGCACCCUGAUCUUGUACUUCCAGCCCCCAGAACUGUAAGAAAAACAUUUCAGUUGUUUUAAAGCCAUUCUGUUGUUUAUAAUAGCCAGCCUGUGAUAUUUUGUUCUAGCAGACUGACUGUACUAAGACACCAUCCAACCUUCCAAACAUCUAUCCAACCCUCCAUCCAUUCAUCUAACCAUCCAUCUAGUCCCAAAUACCAAGGGCUUAUUCAAUGCUGAUUCUAUGCCAGGAAGAGGCUGAAUGCUGGCGUGACUAAGAUGCAACAGCACAUGUAAAAGCGAGGUUCCCACUAGACUUGAAACUCCCUGAAGGUAGAAUUCUUGUUUUUAUAUCUGCAGUACAUAAAAUAUAAUUUGGCUCCUGUCUUCCUUUCCAACCUUAUUUCACCUACCUAUCUUCUUGCUCAUUCCUCUUCAGCCACACUGGUCUCUUUCUAUUUCUUUUGCCUCAGGACUUUAGCAAUUGCUCUUCCUUUGCUAGAAGAGGAGCAGAGGAACAUUUGACCCAAAUGUUCAUCUAACAUUGUCAACAACUGGCUCCUUCUUAUCCUUUGCAUUUUAUUAUUUUAUUUUACUUUUUAAAGAUUUUAUUUAUUUAUUUGACAGAGAGAUAGAGAAAACCAGAAAGCACAAACGGGGGGAGCAGCAGGCAGAGGGAGAGGGAGGAGCAGA